rnacentral:rRNA from 1 species
AGCGGCGGACGGGUGAGUAAUGCCUAGGAAUCUGCCUAGUAGUGGGGGACAACGUUUCGAAAGGAACGCUAAUACCGCAUACGUCCUACGGGAGAAAGUGGGGGAUCUUCGGACCUCACGCUAUUAGAUGAGCCUAGGUCGGAUUAGCUAGUUGGUAGGGUAAAGGCCUACCAAGGCGACGAUCCGUAACUGGUCUGAGAGGAUGAUCAGUCACACUGGAACUGAGACACGGUCCAGACUCCUACGGGAGGCAGCAGUGGGGAAUAUUGGACAAUGGGCGAAAGCCUGAUCCAGCCAUGCCGCGUGUGUGAAGAAGGCCUUCGGGUCGUAAAGCACUUUAAGUUGGGAGGAAGGGCUCAUAGCGAAUACCUGUGAGUUUUGACGUACCAACAGAAUAAGCACCGGC